rnacentral:misc_RNA from 1 species
GAACAAUUAAAAAAAAAUCAUAAAUAAAAUUAAUCUGGAGGAGCCAUCAUAAAAUCUAUGGAGGAAUGGCCCCCUCUAGUCCCUAAGCUCCACGAUUGGUGCCACCCUUUUGUUACCUGCACAAGUUCCAUUCAACUUGACACCAACGUAUUGAGAUGAUUGGAAUCCCUCCAAAAUCUAGUGCUGCAUUCAAGUAGCAUCCUGAAUCCUUAUAGUGCAUGUGUAUAUUGAACACUGCAAGAAUCAAGACCAGCUGUGAGCAACCGCAGUUCCUCAACUUGGUGGCCUAUCCAACUUCCUAGUAUAGGCAGGCAACUCAUUCCAAGCAAAACAUUAUUGGUCUUUUGAAUCCCAACCAUCUAACUACCGAAAGUGUAUAUUAGGAUGUUCUAAGGGGGGCACCCUACCUUCUUUAUUUUGCUGCAACAUGUAUCCCUUUAACAGACUUAUGCCUGCCUUUGCAACAGUCUUUUUGACUCGAUGCUUCCAGCCCUGGGAAAAUAGGCAUAAUGCAUGUGUCUAGAAAUAGGUAAAGAGUACAAUCAGUCAGUAACAUAUAACUGGCUGGAACUUGGGACCAUUCUCAGCUGCUUCACUCGAUGUCUUUGGAAUUUGGACCCACCUUCAAAACUCUACGAAAUUUCUACAACUUUUUAUCACAUCUUUCUUUCAGAUGUCAAAGAUGCUCUCACAAUUUUUGUGGCCACUUUCAAGAGAUGAAUUAAUUAUAUCUUGAAGAACUAGGACUAGUUUUUUAUAACCUCGUGCCACAAAGGAAGCAAACAUGAUUAUAUAUAAGGAAUAUAAUUAUAGCUAACACAUGUUCCACUACUAAACUUGAAGUUUUUAAUCAACAUUUAACUUAUCCUCCUUGAGUCAUCAGGCUUCUUUAUUCCUCAUCAACUGGAAUCGUACAAUCCUAUGUGGUCUUCAAUAUAUCAUGCAAAAAUACUUGGUGUAAUGAGUCACUACAGGGGACAGUGUUGUAAUGACAGAAAAUAAAUGGAUAAAUAAAGAAUGUGAAUGAAACAGAUGAAAAUUUUGUUAAAGUAACAAAUAUAGAAAGGGAAUAACAAAAAUGUAAAAAGUGAAUGAAACAUAUAAAAAUUAACUCACUCCAACAGUUCAUUGUAGCGAGUCACUACACCUAGUAAAAUUCUUAUGCCAAAUGAGGCUUUGAUCUAUUAGUAAAAUUAUACAAGAUUGAGGCCCUGCGAUUAAGAGAUCCCAAGUUCAACUCGCACCAUUGUUAGUCUGAACUGUUAAAUUUCAUUGUUUACUUUGCGUUUGCAGAUGUAUUUUGGCUUUGGCCAGCGAUCAGUUGUAAUUAACAUGAUUAAGAUGUAUCUUGUAGUCUUAUUUCUGGUAAAAAAACACCUCUACCCUUU